GUAGGGAAUCUUCCACAAUGGGCGAAAGCCUGAUGGAGCAAUACCGCGUGGACGAUGAAGGUCGAAAGAUCGUAAAGUCCUUUUCUGAAGGAAGAAAUCUGACGGUACUUUAGGAAUAAGCACCGGCUAACUCCGUGCCAGCAGCCGCGGUAAUACGGAGGGUGCAAGCGUUACCCGGAAUUAUUGGGCGUAAAGCGUCCGAAGGCGGACAAUCAAGUUGAAUGUCAAAUUUUGAAGCUCAACUUCAAGCAGGUGUUCAAAACUAGUUGUCUGGAGUUUUAUUGAGGCACGUGGAAUUCUGUGUGUAGGGGUUAAAUCCGUAGAUACACAGAGGAACACCAAAAGCGAAGGCAGCGUGCUAAGUAACAACUGACGCUCAUGGACGAAAGCGUAGGUAGCGAACGGGAUUAGAAACCCGAGUAGUCC
rnacentral:rRNA from 1 species